UACGAAGGGAGCUAGCGUUGUUCGGAAUUACUGGGCGUAAAGCGCACGUAGGCGGACUUUUAAGUCAGGGGUGAAAUCCCAAGGCUCAACCUUGGAACUGCCUUUGAUACUGGAAGUCUUGAGACCGAGAGAGGUGAGUGGAAUUCCUAGUGUAGAGGUGAAAUUCGUAGAUAUUAGGAAGAACACCAGUGGCGAAGGCGGCUCACUGGCUCGGUACUGACGCUGAGGUGCGAAAGCGUGGGGAGCAAACAGG
rnacentral:rRNA from 1 species